rnacentral:rRNA from 1 species
CACGUAGGGCGCAAGCGUUGUCCGGAAUUAUUGGGCGUAAAGAGCUCGUAGGCGGUCUGUUGCGUCCGCUGUGAAAACCCGGGGCUUAACCCUGGGCUGGCAGUGGAUACGGACAGACUAGAGGUAGGUAGGGGAGAAUGGAAUUCCCGGUGUAGCGGUGAAAUGCGCAGAUAUCGGGAGGAACACCGGUGGCGAAGGCGGUUCUCUGGGCCUUACCUGACGCUGAGGAGCGAAAGCAUGGGGAGCGAACAGG